UACGUAGGGUGCAAGCGUUGUCCGGAAUUAUUGGGCGUAAAGAGCGUGUAGGCGGCCCGACCAGUCCGCUGUGAAAGUCCAGGGCUCAACCCUGGAAUGCCGGUGGAUACUGUCGGGCUAGAGUCCGGAAUGGGCGAGUGGAAUUCCUGGUGUAGCGGUGAAAUGCGCAGAUAUCAGGAGGAACACCAAUGGCGGAGGCAGCUCGCUGGGACGUGACUGACGCUGAGACGCGAAAGCGUGGGGAGCAAACAGG
rnacentral:rRNA from 1 species